AUGAGAUUCAUCCAUCUUGCGAUAUAGACCAGACAAGACACUGUUAAAUAUCACAUAAUUAGGGGGAUUCUCACAAAGAGAUUUUGAUUUUGUGGGCUCUAUAAUGAGAUGAUACCUGAACUUAGCUGAGUACAACUUCUCUGUGACAACAAGGCCUUAUAAAAGAAUAGACUGUGUUGUAUGCCUGAACAGACUGGAACUAAAAGUAUACAAAAAGGAAUACCCUGGGUCAACUGGACCACCAAGAGAGUGAACUUGUCUACGGAAUCAUCUUCAUUUGGAAGGAAUUUACCAGCCUUCACCAAAAGCUGUGCCAGUGAAAUUUUAUUGUAUGAGGAUAAGCAGCAAGAGUAUGGAGGUUAUGGAGGUAUCUGACAUCUAUACCAUCUGGCAAUAACAGUAAUAGCCAACUGAGAGUCACCAUGAUUCUUCCCUGUUCAUAAGUAGAAACCAGAUACACUUUCUGUUUACAAUUAAAAAAAAAAAAAAAACAACCCUUUGAUGCUUUCAGACAAUACAGCGGAAAGAGAAAUGUCUUAGAAAA